CCAUACAUCGUGAGAGGUUUAGGUCAACAUAUUACAUUGCAAUUUUCUGCAAAGCUCGAUCGACCACCUAUGGCAGGAGUGGAAAGGCCUCAUGUUCGUUUCUUCGUCACAAGGCCCAACAGCUCUUGCUUAUUUAGUGGAACAGAACUCACUAAGAAACAGAGUGGCGCAAAUUCCAGCUUCAAGUGCCCAGCAAUCAGAUAAGAGAUCAACCCAUAGAUAUGUAUACAGAGAUAGAUAUCUAUAUACAAUGACUCUGAGCUCUUAGCAGUAGCAGUAGCAGUAGCAGUAGCAGUUUUGCGGGCGCACUCCAACCUAUGGGCUGACGCAGUCGACGAGCAUGGACACGGCAGCUUCCGUGCAAGGCAAAGGCAGCCAGGGGCGAGGCUUGAUCCUGAUCGCCUGGCUCAAAGGAAGCUCCUGCGGCUCACCGCCUCCCUCCAUCUCCGCCUUCGGUCUCGAACUCCCUGAGAAGGCAGCACGACCCUUCUCCCGAAGCUUCGCGAGCUCGGCCGUCCACGUAUCCACCAAGUUGGACAUUGUGAUCAGAGACUGCAGCAACGACGACGAUGGCUGACAAGCGACAGUCCAAGGAGAAGAAACAACACCAAGAGGAACAACUUACGAUGGAAGGAUGAGGCCUAGGGAGGUUGAUAAGGAGCAGCAGACGAGCUUAUCCAUUCCAAAACCAGGGCCUUUGGAAUCCUGGAGCCGCCAGUCUAUGGGAGGGAGCCCGCAGCUUCAUAAGAGCCCGAGGUAUAUGGCAUCAAAGCCAUUACAGAACGAGUCUUCCUUUUGUGCAUCACAUCACAUCCAUCAUCUCUCUCUCUCUCUCUCUCGCGUCUUCUG
rnacentral:lncRNA from 1 species